rnacentral:rRNA from 1 species
UACGAAGGGUGCUAGCGUUGUUCGGAUUUACUGGGCGUAAAGCGUAUGUAGGCGGUCUGUUUGGUCAGAUGUGAAAUCCCAGGGCUCAACCCUGGAACUGCAUUUGAUACCGGCAGGCUAGAGUAUGAUAGAGGACAAUGGAAUUCUAAGUGUAGAGGUGAAAUUCGUAGAUAUUUAGAGGAACACCAGUGGCGAAAGCGAUUGUCUGGAUCAUUACUGACGCUGAGAUACGAAAGCGUGGGGAGCAAACAGG